GCACUGCUGAAGAGUCCCACAAUAGGACAAUACAGCCGUCCAGUGC
rfam:Schistosoma rodhaini strain Burundi genome assembly, scaffold: SROB_scaffold0005236